rnacentral:tmRNA from 1 species
GGGGGUGUACUGGUUUCGACGGGGGCAGUCGAGGUAAAAGUAGCGAGCCGAGUUGUCCGCCAGCUCGUAAAAAUGGUGGAGUAAAAAUAAACGCAGACAGAGAAUUAGCUUACGCUGCCUAAUUUAAGGUAGCCGUCCAACCUGAAAUGCCCACGUUUCAGGAUUGGGCGUCAAAAAAGUGGGGAACUGGUUUUGCUCAGGCUUCGGGGCAAAACCGGAACUUAUGAAG